rnacentral:snoRNA from 1 species
ACAUGCCUAUGAUGAAAAAUAUCACCAUCUUUCGACUGAUAUUUAGUGAUGUUUUCUUCACUUUGACCUGAGGCAUGGU